GAUGAACGCUGGCGGCGUGCUUAACACAUGCAAGUCGAACGAGGAAUACCGAUGAAGUUUUCGGAUGGAUUCAGUAUUCCGAGUGGCGGACGGGUGAGUAACGCGUGGGUAACCUGCCCUUAGCAGAGGGAUAGCCAUUGGAAACGAUGAUUAAAACCUCAUAAUGCUGUUGAAACACAUGUUUCGGCAGCCAAAGAUUUAUCGGCUAAGGAUGGGCCUGCGUCUGAUUAACUAGUUGGUGGGGUAACGGCUCACCAAGGUGACGAUCAGUAGCCGACCUGAGAGGGUGAUCGGCCACAUUGGAACUGAGACACGGUCCAAACUUC
rnacentral:rRNA from 1 species